rnacentral:rRNA from 1 species
UACGUAGGCAGCGAGCGUUGUUCGGAGUUAUUGGGCGUAAAGGGCUCGUAGGCGGUUUGUCGCGUCGGGAGUGAAAACACACAGCUUAACUGUGUGCUUGCUUCCGAUACGGGCAGACUAGAGGUAUGCAGGGGAGAACGGAAUUCCUGGUGUAGCGGUGAAAUGCGCAGAUAUCAGGAGGAACACCGGUGGCGAAGGCGGUUCUCUGGGCAUUACCUGACGCUGAGGAGCGAAAGUGUGGGGGAGCGAACAGG